UGAGUAACAUGAAAUAGGUUACAAUAAAAUGUUUUGACAUUUGCUGCAGCCUAAACCAUGUUUUUUGAACAAAUCGGUUGUUUUCCCCAAUUGCUUGGAUUCAAUUAAAUAGGAUCUGCCGUACUCAUUGAGUCAGUUUGUUUCAUCAAUCACCAAGGUAAAAAUAAUUUUCACUUUUAAGUAUAGUUGUAGUAUAUAGGAAAAGUGAAGAAAACUUUUCACUUAGCGAACAAGUGAAACAGCUUAAGAAUGAACUCGAUGAUGUUAAAAGCCAAUUAGUGGUGAACCGUAUAACAGUCGAAUCAAAUUUUGUAGAGAAAAGGAAAGCGGAAGAAGAGAUAGCAAAUUGGCAAACACUAGUACAUGAGACCAUAGAGGAAUCCAGUUCCACGCAAACCGAAUAUAACAAUAAAUUAUUAAAAUUAGAGUCGCAUAUAGAGGAUUUGCAAAAGGAAAUUGCCAUUUUGCAGGAGCAGAGGCAACUGACCCAGAAUGCCAACCAAGAACAUAGUUUGGCUCCCAGCGUUUUGUUAAAUGCACUGACGAAAAUCAGGAAAUUAGGGGUGGACUUUUUCUUCUUAAGAGUCCCUAUCGGAGACUUUGAAGGUAUUUUGAAUUUACAAUAUGUUGUCAAAAAUAAUCUCAAAUUGGGAUUGUCCAGAUUUUAAGGUGGAAUAAGUAUGGUAUGGUAUAGCAAGUUAUCGUGGAAAUUGGCUUGUUCGAGGUUUUUUGGUUUUUCUUCAAAGUAUCUGGUAUUGUUUGCUGGGAGGGUUACUCUGGUUGCAAUUUUCCACAACCCACAAUAAAUUUCUUAUCUGCGUGAAUGUUUUAAAUCCAAUAAAGCAAGGGUGGGCAAAAGCCGGCCCUUUUGCUAAUUUUAUCGGGCCCGUUGAAAAAUUCCGCACGCAAAUUUUUUUAAACUCUUUUAUGAGAUUUUGUUGACAUCAACAUUAUUAGUGUGCGUACUGUAUAUAUAAUAGGCGUAAUAAAAUGGGCGGUCGGCUGACUACACUAGUGUGGACGAUGUCGCGAGCUUGAAACAAUCCUCGUGCGAUUCUCGUGCGGGUCGCUCGCGACGAUCGCUCUCAGGACUCAGGACUCAGGACUGUUUUUUCGUCGAACACAAAGGAGAUCGCGCUAGGUUCGAAAUGCAUGUGUGGACGGCAUAUGCUGCACUCCUCUCACUUUUCGAGGGACGACAGGUCGCACCACGCGUAUUGUUAAUUUUGAUUUAGCACUGGUCGCAUACUCUUUUUUGUUCGAGACUAAUAUUAGUUUGCAAAUAUAAAUUGAAAAAGUGGACUUUUUGUAAGUAAAAUUUUAAAACAUUGGUUUUAUUUUAUUGUAUUAAUUAAAUUAUUUAUUUGUAGACCUUUGUAAAAUGGGUCAAUCUACAAAAAGAAAAGUUGAUUUGGAAUGCAGAAACUUCAAUGAAGCUUGGAGGGUAAAAUAUCUUUUUACAAAUAUUAAUAAGAAAGCAAUUUGUUUAGUUUGUCAGGAAACAAUUGCUGUGUUCGAAGAAUACAAUUUAAACAAGCACUUUACAACAAAACAUCCAAAAUAUGCAUCACUUUCUUUAAAAGAACUUCAAACUGUAGCAGAAAACUUAGCAAAAAACUUGAAUAAGCAACAAAAUAUUUUAACCAAACAAAGUAAUAUAGAGAAAUCUACCACAAAAGCAAGUUAUGUUGUCGCACACGAAAUUGCUAAGUUCUGUAAGCCGUUUUCUGAAGCAGAAUUUGUUAAACAAUGCAUGGUACAAGUGUUGGAGAUAUGUUGUCCUGAAAAGAAACAUAUUUUUGAAAAUGUAAGCUUUUCGAGAAGAACAAUAGUACGACGCAUUGAAAAUAUUUCAGGAAACUUACUUGACCAGCUAAGAACAAAAAUUGCCGAUUUUACCUAUUGUUCUCUGGCUUUAGAUGAGUGCUGCGAUAUUACUGAUACAAGUCAAUUAUUAAUAUUUAUUCGCGGCAUUAACAAGAAAUGUGAAAUUAGCGAGGAACUUCUUAGUGUGCAUCCAAUGAAAGAUACAACUACUGGUGAAGACUUCUUUCUCGCUGUUGAAGAGUGUUUAGUUAAAGUAAGUUUAACUUGGAAUAAAAUAGUAAGCGUCACUACGGAUGGUUGUCCUAGUUUAACAGGGAAAAAUGUUGGCUUACUUAAACGAAUUCGUAAGUAAAAGAGUUACAACCAGAACAAGAUAUAUUAUUUUUGCAUUGCAUUAUUCAUCAAGAAGUGCUAUGCAGAAAAGUUUUGAAAUUGAAUCACGUCGUUACUGUUGUGACCAAAGUUGUGAAUUUUAUCCGAGGACGUGCCGUAAAUCAUCGACAGUUUGUUGAAUUUUUGAAAGAUAUUGAAAGUGACUUCUACGAAAUUCCUUAUUACACUGAAGUGAGAUGGCGUAGCAUUGGUAAAGUUUUGGACAGAUUUCAAUAUUUGCUUGAUGAAAUAGUAUCCUUCUUGUCGAUAAAAGAAAAACUACACGAUUUUCCUGAAUUGCAAAAUAAGGCUUGGCUAAACGAUUUCUCGUUUUCAGUAGAUAUCGUAAAAUAUUUGAAUGAACUAAAUAUAAAUCUACAAGGGAAAAACCAAUUUGCUUUGAAUAUGCACUCAAACGUCAAAGUAUUUAUGACAAAACUCAAUUUAUUUGCUGAAAACUUUAAUAAUAAAUUAUUAAAUCAUUUCCCCUCAUUGCAAGCACGGCGAGAAUCAUUGAAAAAUACAGAUUUUUUUAAAUAUAGUGCAAUAACACAAGACCUGCAUUCUGAAUUCCAAAGAAGAUUUCAAGAUUUCAAAGCUAUUGAAAAACCUUUAUCAUUAAUUAGCCAACCUUUCAAUUUCGAUGUGCAAGAAGCUCCUGUUGAAAUUCAACUAGAACUAAUUGACUUACAAUCAAAUAAUUUACUAAAAGAAAAUUUUCACUCAAACGAAUUAAGUGCUUUCUAUGGCGCUUUGAAUAACGAACAUUUCAAACAUUUUUUGAACUAUGUUCAAAAAUACCUUGUUUUAUUUGAUUCGACAUAUAUUUGUGAAAGAACUUUUUCUUUAAUGGUUU